UACGGAGGGAGCUAGCGUUGUUCGGAAUUACUGGGCGUAAAGCGCGCGUAGGCGGCCUGCUAAGUCGAACGUGAAAUCCCCGGGCUCAACCCGGGAACUGCGUCCGAUACUGGCAGGCUUGAAUCCGGGAGAGGGAUGCGGAAUUCCAGGUGUAGCGGUGAAAUGCGUAGAUAUCUGGAGGAACACCGGUGGCGAAGGCGGCAUCCUGGACCGGUAUUGACGCUGAGGCGCGAAAGCCAGGGGAGCAAACGGG
rnacentral:rRNA from 1 species